rnacentral:rRNA from 1 species
UAGAGUUUGAUCCUGGCUCAGAACGAACGCUGGCGGCGUGGAUAAGGCAUGCAAGUCGAACGGGCUUUAACGGGUGGUAACAUCUGUUAAGGCUAGUGGCGAACGGGUGAGUAACACGUGGGCAAUCUGCCUCGAAGUGGGGGAUAACAUCGGGAAACCGGUGCUAAUACCGCGUAAUAUCCAGGGAUCGCAUGUUUCCUGGAUCAAAGGUGGGGAUCUUUCGGGACCUACCGCUUUGAGAGGAGCCCGCGGUCGAUUAGCUUGUUGGUGAGGUAAUGGCUCACCAAGGCAAUGAUCGAUAGCCGACCUGAGAGGGUGACCGGCCACACUGGGACUGAGAUACGGCCCAGACUCCUACGGGGGGCAGCAGUCUAGAAGCUUCGGCAAUGGGGGAAACCCUGACCGAGCGACGCCGCGUGCAGGAUGAAGGUCUUCGGAUCGUAAACUGCUUUCGCUGGGGGAGAAAUGCCUGGAGGUGAAUAAUCUUCAGGUUAGACGGUACCCAGUAAAGAAGCCCCGGCUAAGUCCGUGCCAGCAGCCGCGGUAAUACGGGCGGGGCGAGCGUUGUUCGGAUUCAUUGGGUGUAAAGGGUGCGAAGGCGGUCGUCUAAGUCGAAGGUGAAAUGUCUACGGCUCAACCGAGGCAUUGCCUCCGAUACUGGACGACUUGAGUGCGGAAGGGGAGCGUGGAAUUCCUGGUGUAGCGGUGAAAUGCGUAGAUAUCAGGAGGAACACCGGUGGCGAAGGCGACGCUCUGGUCCGCAACUGACGCUCAUGCACGAAAGCCAGGGGAGCGAACGGGAUUAGAUACCCCGGGUAGUCCUGGCCGUAAACGUUGGGCACUAGGUGGUUGUGGGAGGUAUCGACCCCUUCCGUGCCGUUAGCUAACGCAUUAAGUGCCUCACCUGGGGAGUACGACCGCAAGGUUGAAACUCAAAGGAAUUGACGGGGGCCCGCACAAGCGGUGGAGUAUGCGGUUUAAUUCGAGGCAACGCGAAGAACCUUACCCGGGCUUGACAUCACCGAAAGGAUCCAUGCUCACUGGAAACAGUGAGAUUAGGAAGACAGGUGUUGCAUGGCUGUCGUCAGCUCGUGUCGUGAGAUGUUGGGUUAAGUCCCGCAACGAGCGCAACCCCUAUCGUCAGUUACCAGCGGUUCGGCCGGGGACUCUGACGAAACUGCCGCCGACAAGGUGGAGGAAGGUGGGGAUGACGUCAAGUCAGCAUGGCCCUUACGUCCGGGGCUACACGCGUACUACAAUGGCUGGUACAAUGGGGUGCAAUACCGCAAGGUGGAGCGAAUCCUCAAAACCAGCCCUAGUUCAGAUUGGGGUCUGCAACUCGACCCCAUGAAGGCGGAAUCGCUAGUAAUCGUAGAUCAGCACGCUACGGUGAAUACGUUCCCGGGCCUUGUACACACCGCCCGUC